CUGCUGCCUCCCGUAGGAGUCUGGGCCGUGUCUCAGUCCCAGUGUGGGGGGCCUUCCUCUCAGAACCCCUACGCAUCGUCGCCACGGUGGGCCGUCACCCCGCCGUCUAGCUAAUGCGCCGCAUGCCCAUCCGCCACCGGAUCGCUCCUUUGGCCACCGGGGGAUGCCCUCCGGUGGCGUCACGGGGUAUUAGGCCGCGUUUCCGCGGGUUAUCCCCCUGUGGCGGCCAGGUUGCAUACGUGUUACUCACCCGUGCGCCGGUCGCCGGCGGGACG
rnacentral:rRNA from 1 species